CCUACGGGAGGCAGCAGUAGGGAAUCUUUCACAAUGGGCGAAAGCCUGAUGGAGCAACGCCGCGUGCAGGAUGAAGGCCUUCGGGUUGUAAACUGCUUUUAUAAGCGAGGAAUAUGACGGUACCUUAUGAAUAAGGAUCGGCUAACUACGUGCCAGCAGCCGCGGUCAUACGUAGGAGGCGAGCAUUAUCCGGAGUGACUGGGUGUAAAGAGUUGCGUAGGUGGCAUAAGAAGUAGCUAGUGAAAUCUGGUGGCUCAACCAUUCAGACUAUUAGCUAAACUGUUAAGCUCGAGAGCGUUAGAGGUAAGUGGAAUUUCUAGUGUAGGAGUGAAAUCCGUAGAUAUUAGAAGGAACACCAAUAGCGUAGGCAGGUUACUGGACCGGUUCUGACACUGAGGCACGAAAGCGUAGGGAGCAAACGGGAUUAGAUACCCGGGUAGUC
rnacentral:rRNA from 1 species